UUCACUCCUGAUGAAGGGUUUCGGCCUGAAACGUCGUCACUACCUCCUCCCAUAGAUGUUGUCUGGCCUGCUGAGUUCUGCCAGCACUUAGUGUUUUUAUUUAUUUCCACCAUCUGCAGUUUCACUCAUGUUGACAGGCAAAACAAAUUUUUGUGAAAAUAGGAAUUAAGAUUCCUCCUGCACUUGAGUAUGGAUAUUCCUGAGUCUCCACCGGGACUUGCGUGACUGAAGGCACUGACAUGGUGAAGGAAGCCACGAACACCACCGGAGAUGGAAGACCUUCAUUGCUGCCCUAAACGCCAGUGGCGUAAUGAGCUCUCAAAAAUGGGAUCUCUUCUACCAGACAAUGGCCUUCCAAAAAAACACUUGUCUUCCUGGUGUUUCUCCUGCUGAUUGUUAACCCUGAGUUUUCCAAAGCCCAAAGAAGGCCAUAUUUUGUCUAUGUAAGAGGCAUUGGAGAUGAGAAUCAAGCAGAGACUGCGAUGGAAUACUUGUCUUUAACUCCAGAUUUUAAAUUCUCAAGUAACUCUCUGGGAGACAUUUUGAUUGGGAAUUACCCAGAGGUCUACAAUCAUCUAAAGUCUGGAUGGUGACAAUCUUCAAUCUUCCAUGAUGCUUCAAUCAGUGAUUCAUGGACGCUUUAACUGAGUCAAAAUGAAAUCGAUCAUCAGCUAGAGCCAUGUCUCUGAGCUUAUUCUAUUAGUUUACUCUCUGAAUAAUGCACAUAUAAUGUACAAGUUUAAAAUUGAUUGCAUCAAUAAAUGUUGUGCUUGAUGAAUUCAAGAGCACAGACAUUAGAUACUGUCUCCUUGCAUUUGCCCUAACGAGGUGCAACACCUCACAUUUACCUGGGUACUCCAUCUGCCAUUUCUCUGCCCAUAUCCGCAACUGAUCCAUAUCACGCUAUAUCCUACGCCAGUCUUCUACACGAU